rnacentral:misc_RNA from 1 species
GGGUCUAUAGUGGUUGAAGCACCAACAAAUUUCAGCAUCUGUUAAAAGUAUACUCCUGUGGGUUUUCAGUGCCUUUACUCUGUGAAAUCAACUCUCAGAGGAGUUCUUACUUUUGGCAAGAGUAACUUCGAUGAAAAAUAUGAAGUCUCUUUGGUGGACUUCACAGAGACUGAUGAGCUUGUUCUUAAUCUGGUGUUUUUGGGUUGCU